CCAGACUCCUACGGGAGGCAGCAGUAGGGAAUCUUUCACAAUGGGCGAAAGCCUGAUGGAGCAACGCCGCGUGCAGGAUGAAGGCCUUCGGGUUGUAAACUGCUUUUAUAAGCGAGAAAUAUGAUGGUAACUUAUGAAUAAGGAUCGGCUAACUACGUGCCAGCAGCCGCGGUAAUACGUAGGGUGCGAGCGUUAAUCGGAAUUACUGGGCGUAAAGGGUGUGCAGGCGGUUUUGCAAGAUGGAUGUGAAAGCCCCGGGCUUAACCUGGGAAAGCCAUACAUGACUGCAAGACUAGAGUGCGUCAGAGGGGGGUGGAAUUCCAAGUGUAGCAGUGAAAUGCGUAGAUAUUUGGAAGAACACCGAUGGCGAAGGCAGCCCCCUGGGACGCAACUGACGCUCAUACACGAAAGCGUGGGGAGCAAACAGGAUUAGAUACCCCCGUA
rnacentral:rRNA from 1 species